rnacentral:lncRNA from 1 species
AAUUUGAUCGACAAUGUGUGAUUCAAUCACAUCUUCAGCUGCGUGAGCUGCAGAUGCGAUUUGACUCUCCAGAUCUGAUGCUUCUUUGCUACCUCCAUCAAUAUUACUGUUGGUAAUCAAGUCGAGCAAGCCAUCAGCCUUUUCCCCAAGGGAUUCAAUCUGUUUGAAAGGAGAGGAUGGCUCAUCAUCUGCUCAAUGAUGUUCAUCACAGAAACCAGAGCUGCAUAAGCUGCCAUCUCAAAUCAAAGUCGAAUUUUGUUGAAAUUUGAGGAAUCUGAACGACGAUUGACGUAAUCU